UCGGACUGGAGUCUGCAACCCGACUCCACGAAGCUGGAUUCGCUAGUAAUCGCGCAUCAGCCACGGCGCGGUGAAUACGUUCCCGGGCCUUGUACACACCGCCCGUCAAGCCAUGGGAGCCGGGGGUACCUGAAGUGCGUAACCGCGAGGAGCGCCCUAGGGUAAAACUGGUGACUGGGGCUAAGUCGUAACAAGGUAUC
rnacentral:rRNA from 1 species